GACGAACGCUGGCGGCGUGCCUAAUACAUGCAAGUCGAACGCAGUUUCGAACGGGUGAGUAACGCGUAGGUAACUGCCUCAUAGCGGGGGAUAACUAUUGGAACCGCUAGCUAAUACCGCAUACUUUAAGAUGGACCUGCUUUGUAUUAGCUAGGUGGUGAGGUAAAGGGUCACCAAGGCGACGAUACAUAGCCGACCUGCGAGGGGGAUCGGACGCAUUGGGACUGAGACACGGCCCAGACGACUACGGGAGGCAGCAGUAGGGAAUCGUCGGCAAUGGACGGAAGUCUGACCGAGCAACGCCGCGUGAGUGAAGAAGGUUUUCGGAGCGUAAAGCUCUGUUGUUAGAGAAGCGGUAACUAACAAGAAAGGGACGGCUAACUACGUGCAAGCAGCCGCGUAAUUC
rnacentral:rRNA from 1 species